rnacentral:rRNA from 1 species
UACGAAGGGUGCAAGCGUUACUCGGAAUUACUGGGCGUAAAGCGUGCGUAGGCGGUUUGUUAAGUCCGCUGUGAAAGCCCUGGGCUCAACCUGGGAAUUGCAGUGGAUACUGGCAAGCUAGAGUGCGGUAGAGGAUGGUGGAAUUCCCGGUGUAGCGGUGGAAUGCGCAGAUAUCAGGAGGAACACCGAUGGCGAAGGCAGGUCUCUGGGCCGCAACUGACGCUGAGGAGCGAAAGCGUGGGGAGCGAACAGG